UGGAUUCAACAGAGAAGGCGACGAUGUCCGCGCAGGCGCAGACGGUGCCGAUGGAGUCAGGCCUCCUCGAAGGCGCCCUUGGCUGAGUCUGUUGUGGGUAUCCCCAGCUGCUCCGGCUGCGGGUUGUCCUCCGUCGGGCGGUCGGGCAGAGCAGGACGGAAGCGUUACGCGCACAGCCCUGCGGCGGGCCAAAUGCACUGGCAACUUAGUAUACGCGCAAUGCAACUAUGCAAAGUACGUGACUGCAACAGAC
rnacentral:lncRNA from 1 species